rnacentral:tRNA from 1 species
GAAAAAUUAGUUUAUAGAAAACUUAAGCUUGUCAAGCUUAGAAAAUUAAAUUAUUAAUACUUUUCU